AUGGCGUUCUUCGGUCAUAGGUACUUGACGUUCUUAGCGGUUCCGAAGACGGUGGUAGAUGAACAUGACACGUCGCCAUGGUACUUGUUGGUCUUGAGGGUCGACGGUAGAUGCAUCUUGGCGGUCUUGUCUCGGUCUUCAAUCCAAAACGAAGCAAGGCAAAAGACUCGGGUCGGUGGUACUUGGCGGUCCACAGCAAAGAGGAACCCUGAAGGGGUGGCUCGAGGAAGAACACUACAGCGAGGCGGCGAGGCCAGGGGAGGCGCAUCGGCGAAGCAGGGACUCGCGAGCAGAGGAGCAAGUCGCGGCGCUGGUGCAAGGUGGCGACGAGACGAGGUGGUUGCCGACGGCUACGAGCUGAAGAGCGAUGUGGACGAGGUGGCACAGGGCCGGGCAAGGUGA
rnacentral:rRNA from 1 species